rnacentral:lncRNA from 1 species
CCACCGGAAGGAAGAAAUUCCAGACACAUCUAAACAUUGGAAGGAACAAACUCCAGACACACUAUCUUUAAGAACUGUAACACUCACCGCGAGGGUCUGUGGCUUCAUGCUUGAAGUCAGCCGGACCAAGAACCCACCGGAAAGAACCAAUUCCUGACACAAUCAGACAGAGAAUGCUGAUUCACUAUGCAGUGAAACAUGCCUAACGUGUCAACAGCUAAAUGCCCGGUGACAGUGUGGUUGUCUGGGCAACAGAAGAAGUCACCCACGCAAACACUUAAAGGACCAUACUUAUUUUACAAGAGGAACAGUUUUCAAUGGAAUGGAUAUUAAAACACACACCUGGAUCCCUUUACCACAGGUGCUUUGAGAGGCACCAUCAAGGACAGUGAGCUAACGCAGGAAGGCAGUGUGGAGCUGCUUGAUGGCCUCUGAGUCACAUUGCUUCCCUAGAAGCUUAUUGGCCAGAGUUGCAAAGUUCUGCUGCCUGAGCCAUCUGAGGGCUGUGUCUGCUGUGCUGGUGCCCAUCCAUGUUGGAGCAGAAAGGACCCUAGCUGAAGCUCAGAGGCUGUGACUGGAGCCACGACAGGAAGGGCAGGCUGCUGCUUCUGCAGAACCAGAGGCCUGGGGGAGAGGCCCCAGAGCUCAACACAAAAGCCCCAGAUGAAGCCCUAGUGAGGCCAAGUCCUGUCUGAGACUCUGCCGUUGGGGUUGCCUGUGAGUGGCUGACACUGACCCCUGCCCCCAGCCCCUUUAUUGGGAUUCUGCUGUUCUCAUCCCUGUCCCCUGGUGCAGCUACACACAUUUGCUCAGAAAGAGAGCCCCCAGCAGCUUAGAUUUCAAGAUUUUCUUGUUGGAAAAACACAACUUUUGGAGAAAAUAAAAAUGGCAAAA